rnacentral:rRNA from 1 species
UGCGUAGGCGGACUAAUAAGUCAGUGGUGAAAUCUCUCGGCUCAACCGGGAAACGGCCAUUGAUACUGUUAGUCUUGAGUUCGGUUGAGGUAGGCGGAAUGUGUAAUGUAGCGGUGAAAUGCUUAGAUAUUACACAGAACACCAAUUGCGUAGGCAGCUUACUAGACCGACACUGACGCUGAGGCACGAAAGCGUGGGUAGCGAACAGGAUUAGAUACCCUGGUAGUCC